rnacentral:rRNA from 1 species
CUUUAGUGGCGGACGGGUGAGUAACGCGUGGGUAACCUGCCUUACACAGGGGGGAUAACACUUAGAAAUAGGUGCUAAUACCGCAUGAGCGCACAGGACCGCAUGGUCGAGUGUGAAAAACUGAGGUGGUGUAAGAUGGACCCGCGUCUGAUUAGCUAGUUGGUGAGGUAACGGCCCACCAAGGCGACGAUCAGUAGCCGGCCUGAGAGGGUGGACGGCCACAUUGGGACUGAGACACGGCCCAAACUCCUACGGAAGGCAGCAG